GAUAGUAGAGGUCGCGCUACUUAUGAGUACGAGAUGGGAUGCCACCGUAGGCAGGGGAACAUUUCGGAAAGGAAUUGGCGCCGAAGGUGAAGAUGUUGCGGAACAUUGAUCCUGGGCAUAUGAUUAAGAGUCAUAUGACUGUCAUCGAAAGAUGGAGAGCUACUU
rnacentral:ncRNA from 1 species